rnacentral:rRNA from 1 species
GAUGAACGCUGGCGGCGUGCCUAAUACAUGCAAGUCGAGCGAAUGGAUUAAGAGCUUGCUCUUAUGAAGUUAGCGGCGGACGGGUGAGUAACACGUGGGUAACCUGCCCAUAAGACUGGGAUAACUCCGGGAAACCGGGGCUAAUACCGGAUAACAUUUUGAACCGCAUGGAUCGUAAUUGAAAGGCGGCUGCGGCUGUCACUUAUGGAUGGACCCGGGGCGCAUUAGCUAGUGGGCGAGGUAACGGCUCAGCAAGGCAACGAUGCGUAGCCGACCUGAGAGGGUGAUCGGCCACACUGGGACUGAGACACGGCCCAGACUCCUACGGGAGGCAGCAGUAGGGAAUCUUCCGCAAUGGACGAAAGUCUGACGGAGCAACGCCGCGUGAGUGAUGAAGGCUUUCGGGUCGUAAAACUCUGUUGUUAGGGAAGAACAAGUGCUAGUUGAAUAAGCUGGCACCUUGACGGUACCUAACCAGAAAGCCACGGCUAACUACGUGCCAGCCGCCGCCGUAA